rnacentral:rRNA from 1 species
UACAGAGGUCUCAAGCGUUGUUCGGAUUCAUUGGGCGUAAAGAGCUCGUAGGCGGUCUGUCGCGUCGGAUGUGAAAAUCCAGGGCUCAACCCUGGACCUGCAUUCGAUACGGGCAGACUAGAGUUCGGCAGGGGAGACUGGAAUUCCUGGUGUAGCGGUGAAAUGCGCAGAUAUCAGGAGGAACACCGGUGGCGAAGGCGGGUCUCUGGGCCGAAACUGACGCUGAGGAGCGAAAGCGUGGGGAGCAAACAGG